UGACCUCGGAUCAGGUAGGGAUACCCGCUGAACUUAAGCAUAUCAAUAAGCGGAGGAAAAGAAACCAACAGGGAUUACCUCAGUAACGGCGAGUGAAGCGGUAACAGCUCAAAUUUGAAAUCUGGCCUCACGGUCCGAGUUGUAAUUUGUAGAGGAUGUUUCGAACGUGGUCCGGUCUAAGUUCCUUGGAACAGGACGUCAUAGAGGGUGAGAAUCCCGUAUGCGACUGGGUGCCUUAGUUCAUGUGAAACUCCUUCGACGAGUCGAGUUGUUUGGGAAUGCAGCUCAAAAUGGGUGGUAAAUUUCAUCUAAAGCUAAAUAUUGGCCAGAGACCGAUAGCGCACAAGUAGAGUGAUCGAAAGAUGAAAAGCACUUUGGAAAGAGAGUUAAACAGUACGUGAAAUUGUUGAAAGGGAAGCGCUUGCAAUCAGACUUGCACGCAGUUGAUCAUCCGGUGUUCUCACCGGUGCACUCGAUUGUGUUCAGGCCAGCAUCGGUUUCGGUGGUUGGAUAAAGGCCUUGGGAACGUAGCUCCUUUCGGGGAGUGUUAUAGCCCUCGGUGCAAUGCAGCCUACCGGGACCGAGGACGCGCUUCGGCUAGAUGCUGGCUAUG
rnacentral:rRNA from 1 species